rnacentral:misc_RNA from 1 species
UGGUUCUGGCAUCGAUGAAGAACGCAGCGAAAUGCGAUACGUAAUGUGAAUUGCAGAAUUUAGUGAAUCAUCGAAUCUUUGAACGCACAUUGCGCUCCCCAGCAUUCUGGGGAGCAUGCCUGUUCGAGCGUCAUUUCAACCCUCAAGUACUAGUUACUUGGUGAUGGGGCCCGUCGUGGCGGGCCCCGAAAUACCUUGGCAGAGCCGGUCAGUACUCUGAGCGUAGUAAAUCACCUCGCUUCUGGAUACUUCCGGCCCCUUGCCGUAAAACACUUUUUUUCUAAAGUUUGACCUCGGAUCAGGUAGGAAUACCCGCUGA